rnacentral:lncRNA from 1 species
CAUACCUGAUGGGACCAUUCUCUGGACAGAUUCUGCAGGUGGAAUACGCAAACAACAGUGAAAUCCAUGUGGCCAGUGGCGGUUGUUACUGUCUUCAGCUGCGAGCUCAGCCAGAUGGACAGAAGUUCAAAGGAAAUUGGAGCGCCUGGUCGGAAUCUCUGUGCCUUGAAGUUCCACCUGGUGCAGGUUCUACCCUCUCAAAUGUGGCAAUUAUUCUUUUGCUCUGCGCAGGACUUGCACUUGGGCUGGGCUGCAUCCACUUUUCCAUUUACAGCAAUAUGAAACAGAAGCUUUGGCCACCGGUCCCAG